GGAUUAGAUACCCUGGUAGUCCACGCCGUAAACGAUGUCUACUAGCAGCUCGCCUCGUUAGAGGGGUUUUGCGCAGCUAACGCAUUAAGUAGACCGCCUGGGGAGUACGGCCGCAAGGUUAAAACUCAAAUGAAUUGACGGGGGCCCGCACAAGCGGUGGAGCAUGUGGUUUAAUUCGAUGCAACGCGAAGAACCUUACCAUCCCUUGACAUCCAGAGAACUUACUAGAGAUAGUUUGGUGCCUUCGGGAACUCUGAGACAGGUGCUGCAUGGCUGUCGUCAGCUCGUGCCG
rnacentral:rRNA from 1 species